UACGUAGGGGGCAAGCGUUGUCCGGAAUCAUUGGGCGUAAAGAGCGUGUAGGCGGCUCGAUAAGUCUGCUGUGAAAGUCCAGGGCUCAACCCUGGAAGGCCGGUGGAAACUGUCGGGCUAGAGUGCGGAAGAGGCGAGUGGAAUUCCUGGUGUAGCGGUGAAAUGCGCAGAUAUCAGGAGGAACACCUAUUGCGAAGGCAGCUCGCUGGGACGUUACUGACGCUGAGACGCGAAAGCGUGGGGAGCAAACAGG
rnacentral:rRNA from 1 species